UACGUAGGGGCGAGCGUUGUCCGGAAUUAUUGGGCGUAAAGAGCGCGUAGGCGGUCCGGUAAGUCCGCUGUGAAAGUCCAGGGCUCAACCCUGGGAUGCCGGCGGAUACUGUCGGACUAGAGUCCGGAAGAGGCGAGUGGAAUUCCCCGGUGUAGCGGUGAAAUGCGCAGAUAUCGGGAAGAACACCCAUGGCGAAGGCAGCUCUCUGGGACGGUACUGACGCUGAGACGCGAAAGCGUGGGGA
rnacentral:rRNA from 1 species